CAAAAUUUCCCCCCCUAAAAUUGGUAUCCUCAAAACACCUGAGUGUUUCUCUCUUCCACCACCGUCUUCAUCACCAUCUUCCCCUCUCUCCCUCUUUUUGCAUACAUCUCAGACUGUUUCUCAUAUUUUUUAUCCCAAUAUUUCAAAUGAAAUAUUAUUUUUCCCCCCUUCUUUUUUCGAUACCCCCAUCCCCAUAAAUCUCCCUAAAUCGAUUCCCCAGAAACCGAUUCCCCAGUAAUGCUUAGCCUUUUUAUUUUGUUCCCUUGGUGUUGGAGUUUGCAUUUUAUUGUUUAUUAACCUGAUAGGAUUUGUUUUUUCUACAAUUGCUAUUGGAUUUUCCAGGCAUAUGUGCAGAUAUAGCAGUGUCAAAGCAUGAAUACUGGUCGGCAUUGGCUCCUCUUCCAUUUGAAGUUGUUGUCUCAGCUGGACAAAAGGCUAAAGAGGAGGCCUGGGAUAAAGGCUAGUUCAUUUUCUGACUACAUCCCGUUUAAUCCCUCUUUCUUUUUAAUAUAUAUUAUUUUGACCUAUUAAAUUUUAGAACUGUUACAGGAGGUGGACAUUCAGACCGGAUUAAAAUUGUCCGGGAUCUGAAUGAUCUGACUGGAGAAGGAAAUAUUGAGAGUAUGCUUUCAGUUGAAAUGGGCCUUAGGGAAUUAGCAUCUUUGAAGGUUUAAUGUUUUGGGUUUGCACGAGUUUGAUAGUGAUCGGAAGAGGAUGUCUGUUAUAUUGGGGUUCCCAAACCAAUCCGUUAAAGUGUUUGUAAAAGGAGCUGACACAACAAUGUUUAGUGUCAUAGACAGAUCUCUGAAUACGAGUAUAAUUCGUGCAACUGAAGGCCAUCUGCAUUCUUACUCCUCAAUAGGCUUGAGAACACUUGUCAUUGGGAUGAGAGAACUGAGUACUUCAGAAUUUGAGGAAUGGCAUUCUGCAUUUGAGGUUGAGGAUGCUGUUGUACAGGCAUUAGGCAGGCAUAGGCGACUUGGUUUGCUUCAUCAAUCCGUCUUAGGCUUGGUUAACGUAUUUCUGGAGAAGAGCCAAAGUGUAUGGCGUGGAAGAUGAUAUUGCAGAAGAGCGACUUGGGUUUUGGAUUAGCCAUAGUGGACAGACCCUACUUCUCAUGAUGCUGUGGAUGGUUGUGGAUGCUAGUGAUGUGAUAAUUUUUUCUGUGAAACCCCAAGUAGGUAAUGCUAUUAGCCUGAGUGCUUCCUCUUUCAUUGCCUCUACGCGCUUCCCUUUUUGUUUUUGAAGUUCUAGAGCUGACAAUACCAUUCUUGCAGUAGGUACCUUUUUCUCAUGCUUCCUCUUUCAUUGCCUCUGUGAUACCAUUCUUACAGCACGUACUUUUUUUUUCUCAAUUAUUAUAAUGAAAGGCUAGAAACUUUAUUCUCAAUUAUUAUAAUUACUUGAUUCUCCUGGCUUACUUUAGCUUUCAAAAUUUACAGAUGCAUGCAGAAGCUGGAAAUGGUCAGUAUGAAAUGGCUUUGGGGUACACUGCUUGUACAUAUGCUGCUGACAACUUGAUUUUCAUGCGCGAAGUUGUUAGGGCUAUUGCAAAUAAACAUGGCAUGUUGGCAACGUUUGUCCCCAAGUAAGUUGUAACUUUUCUUAUUUUGGCAGGGGUUUUAGAUCAUCUUCCCUCAAUUUUGGCAUUCACAGCACCACUUUCAAAUAGUUAUGAUCGCAUACAACCUAAUACAUGGAGUGGAGCAUAUCAAUGUUGGGGCAAAGAAAACAGAGAAGCACAUUGUAUUUUUUUUUUUACCUUGCAAUGUGUAUAGUCAUAGGCAAGUUCAACUAGUUAAUAUGUUUCUCAUAUGUAUUAUUUAUUUUAGUUUUGAUUCUAAAUUUUUAUUUUUACUUUAAUAUUUACGAUAACUUGAGUUCUAACUUUUGGAUUUUAAUUCAGUUAUCAAUUUAUAUCAUAUAUCUUUCAUUGAA